AAGUCGUAACAAGGUUUCUGUAGGUGAACCUGCAGAAGGAUCAUUAGUGAAGAUUUGGGCAGGCCAUACGGACGCCACAAAGUGUCCCUGGCCGCCUACACCCACUAUACAUCCACAAACCCGUGUGCACUGUCCUUGGAAAGGGCAUUUGGAGAGAAAAAGGAAGAGAAGCGAGAACAGUGCGAUCCGUCGCGUUGGGCGUUGAUCUCUGACUUGGUCUCUCUGAGGCCCUUUCCUCGCUACAAACUCGAAUGGUUAGUAUGAACGUGGAACUUGGUUGGACCGUCACUGGCCAACAAACUAUACACAACUUUCGACAACGGAUCUCUUGGUUCUCC
rnacentral:misc_RNA from 1 species